AGCAGCCGCGGUAAUUCCAGCUCCAAUAGCGUAUAUUAAAGUUAGUUGCAGUUAAAAAGCUCGUAGUUGAAUUUCGGGAUCAAUUUAUUGGUCGUGCUAUUGUACGUACUGGUAUUAUUGAUUCCUACCUUCUGACGAACCAUGAUGUCAUUAAUUUGGUGUCUUGGGAAAUCAGGACUGUUACUUUGAAAAAUUGAGUGUUUAAAGCAGGCUCACGCUUGAAUACAUUAGCAAUGGAAUAAUGAAAUAGGACGUUUGAUUCUAUUUUGUUGGUUUCUAGGAUUGACGUAAUGAUUAAUAGGGAUAGUUGGGGGCAUUAGUAUUCAAUUGUCAGAGUG
rnacentral:rRNA from 1 species